rnacentral:rRNA from 1 species
GACGAACGCUGGCGGCGUGCUUAACACAUGCAAGUCGAGCGGUAAGGCCCUUUCGGGGGUACACGAGCGGCGAACGGGUGAGUAACACGUGGGUGACCUGCCCUUAGCUCUGGGAUAAGCCUGGGAAACUGGGUCUAAUACCGGAUAUGACCUCAUGACUCAUGUUGUGGGGUGGAAAGCCUUGUGCGGCUAGGGAUGGGCCCGCGGCCUAUCAGCUUGUUGGUGGGGUAAUUGCCUACCAAGGCGACGACGGGUAGCCGGCCUGAGAGGAUGAUCAGCCACACUGGGACUGAGACACGGCCCAGACUCCUACGGGAGGCAGCAGUGGGGAAUUUUGGACAAUGGGGGCAACCCUGAUCCAGCCAUGCCGCGUGCGGGAAGAAGGCC